rnacentral:sRNA from 1 species
AGCACCGGCACCGCGACGCGGAAGACGAAAUCGCCGAGCGCCUCGCCGAC